rnacentral:misc_RNA from 1 species
UGGCUUGCUCAUCGAUGAAGAACGCAGCGAAAUGUGAUAAGUAAUGUGAAUUGCAGAAUUCAGUGAAUCAUCGAAUCUUUGAACGCACCUUGCGCUCUCUGGUAUUCCGGAGAGCAUGUCUGUUUGAGUGUCAUGAACUCUUCAACCCACCAGUUUCUUGUAGACUGAUUGGUGUUUGGUUUCUGAGCGUUGCUGGUCUUCGGAUCUAGCUCGUUCGUAAUAUAUUAGCAUCUCUAAUUCGAACUCGGAUUGACUCAGUGUAAUAGACUAUUCGCUGAGGACACGCUCUUGUAGUGUGGCCGAAUGAGAUCUCAGUAGAAGCUUCCAACUACUUUAGUCAACUUUAGAUUAGACCUCAGAUCAGGCAGGAUUACCCGCUGA